GGCUUGUUCUUUUUUAGUGAUCUUCUGGUUUGUUUGGUCACCGAUAUACUCGGUAGGCGAACCACAUCUGUCCACAUCUGUCACUUAAUUGUCAUAGAUCUGCUUAAGUCUCAUCAACGGUUAUAUUAUUUUUAAUAGUCUAGUGUUGAUGCUUUUGGUGAUUAUUCAUGAUAUAAGAACUGCAACUAGGUGUAUCAGAACUAUUAUAGAAGACCCAUCAUUAAAAAGAUAGUUUACAUUAUAAUUUCUUAUACUUUAUGCCUCAUCAACGGUUAUAUUAUUUUUAAUAGUCUAGUGUUGAUGCUUUUGGUGAUUAUUACAUUACGGUAGAUCGAAUAUUUAAUGUUGCAAACAUUCAUGAUAUAAGAACUGCAACUAGGUGUAUCAGAACUAUUAUAGAAGACCCAUCAUUAAAAAGAUAGUUUACAUUUUAAUUUUUUAUACUUUAUGCCAGAAUAAUUCAAGAAAAUUAUAAAUGCAUUUAAAAUGGCUAUUUGUUCCGUAGUAGAUAUUUCAAAAAACAUUUUGAUACAUUCAGCAGAUCCCAUCGAUUGUUAAUGGGAAAAGGAUACUCAUAUAUCUUAUGAAAUAUUACAAUGAACUAGAUCAACAGACUUGAAUAAUACAUUCAUGUGUGGCUUAUGUGGAUAGAAGUAAGUCACUUGGACUUUCAGAGGAAGAAAAUUUAUUUGAAUUUAAAGUGUCUAUUGGUGAUAUUUAUGAAUAAUGGCAUUUAUACCGUUGAUUAAAAAUCUCAUAUGACAAAUGAAAUUACCAACAUUGCUGAUGCCAACAUUGAGAUAAAUAAGUGCUAUAAAUAUAGAUUUUUGGAAUGAGAAAAAACACUACACAGUCAAAACCAAGUCAUCGUUCAUUAACUAUGGAUUCAUGAAAAGUAUAAAUCUAACAACAUUUAGCCAACUAUGAUCUGGAGCCAACGUUUCUCCAGUUCAGCUCCUUCAUUGGUUCUUUCGGAUCACAUCAUCCGAGAGUCUUGGUCGACAAUAAUAACCCAAGACAAAAUUCUUGUGGCAGAUUCGAUAUGUAUAUCAUUCCCGGAGGAUUAGGAAGUACCAGAAUCUACACGGAUGGUUAGAAAUGUAACUAGGAUACAUCUCCCGACGAAUUGCUGAGGAUUAGCAGAGAAGAAGCAAUACUCAACGGACUGCCACCACCAUGACAAAAAA